GCCGUAAUUAGUUUUUUUUUGGGUCAGGACGUACGCUGGGGGCGGGGCUUAAUACAUUCAAGUGGUACAGAUUUUUUUUCCCCGGAAAGAUGUCCCCGGAAAAAUAAAAAACACAAACGAGUGAAUAUAUCUUGGGGGAAAAUACCCCCAAGAAGGGGAUAACCCCUGGAAACACCUGCUACUGUCCGCACGCAUUCGAUACCCCAAGGGUUUAGAAUGCGAGACAAUUUCGGAGUGUCCCUGAUGGAUGGUCUCACGGUUCAUUAGGUACAGGGUGAGGUACCGGUUCCCCAAGGUAACGAUACAUAUCCGGCCUAACAGGGUGAAUCGUCCACAUUGGGACUGAGACGCGGCUCGAACUCCUUGGGGAGGCAACAGUAGGCAAUCUUCGUCAAUGGACGGCAUGGGCCGAGCACCCCCGCGUGAAAAAAGAAGGUUUUCGGAUCGUAAAAAUCUGUUGUUAGAGAAGAACAAGUAUGAGAGUAACUGUUCAUCCCAUAACGGUAUCUAACCAGAAAAACACGGCUAACUACGUGCCAGCAGCCGCGGUAAUACGUAGGUGGCAAGCGUUGUUCGGAUUUAUUGGGGGUAAAACGAGCGCAGGCGGUUUUUUAAGUAUCAUGUGAAAACCCCCGGCUCAACCGGGGAGGGUCAUUGGAAACUGGGAGACUUGAGUGCAGAAGAGGAGAGUGGAAUUCCAUGUGUAGCGGGGAAAUACGUAGAUAUAUGGAGGGACACCAGUGGCGAAGGCGGCUCUCUGGUCUGUAUCUGUCGCUGAGGCUCGAAAGCGUGGGGAGCAAACAGGAUUAGAUACCCUGGUAGUCCACGCCGUAAACGAUAAGAGUUAAGUGUUGGAGGGUUUCCGCCCUUCGGUGCCGCAGCUAACGCAUUAAAGCACUG
rnacentral:rRNA from 1 species